CAGCAGCCGCGGUAACACGGAGGGCGCGAGCGUUACCCGGAUUUACUGGGUGUAAAGGGCGUGUAGGCGGCCUGGGGCGUCCCAUGUGAAAGGCCACGGCUCAACCGUGGAGGAGCGUGGGAUACGCUCAGGCUAGAGGGUGGGAGAGGGUGGUGGAAUUCCCGGAGUAGCGGUGAAAUGCGCAGAUACCGGGAGGAACGCCGAUGGCGAAGGCAGCCACCUGGUCCACUUCUGACGCUGAGACGCGAAAGCGUGGGGAGCAAACCGGAUUAGAUACCGCGUAGUCCCUGUCUCUUAUACC
rnacentral:rRNA from 1 species